rnacentral:rRNA from 1 species
AUGGGAGCAGUCCUGUCGUCCUACGACGCCGUCGUCGACGCCCCCAGCUGCAUGACCAAGAACUACGCGCAACAGCGGAGAUUCAUCGCUCCAGAUGCCGUCAUCGACAUGCCGGACAGCGUCUUGCUCGCCAUCGUGGCGCUCGCUGUCGUAUCUGCAUGCAUGGCGUUCGCUCUCGCUCGACGCAACCAGCCAUCCAUGCGAGAAGUCGUGCCGUCCUCCUACGCGCCCGUCGUCCACGCAGCAAGCCAGGCCACCGAGAGCUACGCGCAGCAACGGAGUUCUGCCGACGACGACUACUGGUCCGGCCUGCCGGACGACCUCCUGUUCACCAUCAUGUCGUCUCUGGACGUCCCCAGCCUCCGGCGUGCCGGUGCCGUCUGCACGUCCUGGCGCACGGCGCACAACGCCUUCUGCCUGCCCGCGCUGGAGCGAGCGCCGUGCCAGUUCUACGCCUGCGAGGAGUACGGGCCGAACGACGCCGCACUCUACUGCCCAGCCACCGGCGCCACCUUCCGGGUCCCCUUCCCGGGGCCCCCGCACGAGAAGCGGGGCUUCACCUUCUCGUGCCACGGCGGCUGGCUGUUCACCACCGACGAGGUCGGCGACCCUUACCUCCUCAACCCCGUCACCGGCGGCCAGGCCACGCUCCCUCCGGUCAAAACUAUCUACCACAACGACGAUUUCUAUGACGACGGUGGCAAGCAUGUCUGGCCUGCUGACCCCGAGGACGGGAUCAUGAAACCCAGCAUCAGCUGGGCGCGACACGCGGAGUAUAUUCAGGUUGCCAUCUCUACGACCGCUGAUGUGACGGAAUGCACCGUCCUGAUCGUGCAUAAUCCGGAGUGGAGACUCUCUUUUGCCAGGCCGGGAGACGACCGGUGGACACUGGUCUCCCAGGAUGAAAGCAACGUUGCCAACGUUCUUUACAAUGACAAGGAUGGCUUGUUCUACAUUUUGUAUCUGAAUGGCUCUAUUGGUACUUUAAAUCUCCGUGACCCUUCACCAUCAGUGACCAUGAUCAUGGGCAGAGUGCUACGUUCGUCCGGAUAUCGUACCAUGUACCCUGUCCUCGGUCCAUCGGGUGAACUCCUGCAGGUCUGGAGGAACUGGAGUUACACAGAUACUCCACCCAAGUAUCGCCACACUUACCAAGAUAUCGUGAACGAAAUGCUCAAAGAUUGUGUGGACCUCGCCCACAAAGAUGACAACGACAAUAAGCUACGAGAUGAGCUAGAGACAGAAGAUGGCGAGGAAGAAGGUGAACUAUGGGAAGCCAAUGCGAAUGACCAAGAAAUUGAUGGGCCGCAACUGCUUCGCGAAGGCGUUGACCUGCCACAUCGGCUUGUUGACAAGGUCACCACAGACGAGAUCCUAGUCUUCAAGGUUGACGUCGAUAGACAGAAGCUAGUGGAGCUAAGGGACAUUGGCGACCGUGCUCUCUUCAUGGGGUUCAACUCCGUCGUGUGCCUUUCGACAAAGGACUUUCCGGCUUUCGAGCCAAACUGCAUCUACCUAACGGACGACUGUUCUGACGACAGUCCAAUGUUACGGAAAGAUCAUGGUAUCUGGGAUAUCAAGAAUAGGAGUAUGCGGAAACUUAGUGACGUUUGGCCAAACUUGCAUCCAUGGCUACAUUUACCGGCUCCAAUUUGGAUCACGCCAAGGUUUUAG